rnacentral:lncRNA from 1 species
ACCAAUCUUAAGGGUAUAUCUGGCCGGGGUGUGGAUGGGCAUUUCGGCGCUACGCUUUUUUCAGUCUCGUGCCGAAAUGCGUAUCUGCGCCCUGGCCAGAUAUAUUUUUAAGAUUGAUAAUGGUCUAGUUCAGCCUUUCCCAAAUUUUUUCUACCACGGAACACUGGACAAAUUCCGAAAUUUUCAUGGAAUACCCGGGUUAUUUUAUAGCAUAGGUAGAUAUUAACGAUAAAUAGACGAGUAACUAUAAGAGUUAAGAAAACAAAACAUGGUUAUCAUCGAAUUGUAAUUAUGUAAAAUAAACUAGCCAUUCCAGUUUUCACCUUGGCACGGCCUUUAAAAUCGUACCAAGCUUAUAUUCAUUUUCAUAUUUUUUCUACGGAACAUAGUUUGGGAAAGGAUGGUCUAGUUGGUCACCAGGUAACCAACGAAGGCAGUCCCGCCAAGAAAAAUUGUUUUUUACCGUUUACGUGGCCUAAAUGCUGUUAAUAAAGGAUCGGCUUAAACAUCAUUGGCUGUCUCCUGGGCCAACCGAGUUCCAAACGGAAAGCCAAAUAUUUAAUAAAAUGACUGAACCCGGCCUCUUAUUGUUUCCGACUAAACAAACUCUGGUCCUUUCCAUCCAAUUUACUAUAUAUACCGCUGCCCGGUUAUGGCGCGGGAUGGAGGAGGAAACAUCCCAGCCGCCUUCCAUCUUUUUUCUUUUCCAACGUUACCGAUAUAUGCGUAAAUAUUUGCCAUAGAUGAAAAGCCAUCUAGUAGAGAUUUCCUUUCCAUUCUGCCGGCAACUUACGGAGACCGACCGGUGUCGAUAGUAUGCCGAAAACUGGAUUAAAACCAUCAUCUUUCUUUUAUGGCAGGCGGCCAUUUUCUUGGAUGGAUUGAGUCGACCUAAAGGAUAUACCUGUUUGAAUUUCUUUGUUUUUAACAAAAAAUCUACUUUGAGCGUAAGUAACUUUUCUCUCUCUUAUUUUCAAUACCAUGUAUUAAGAAAAAUCUCUUCCGCAGAUUCUCGCCACCUUCGUUACCUAUUUCGUAUUGUACGUGCAAAUACAGAUUUGAUGGCUGGACCGGAUCUAACGGACCGCGCCAACCAACCAACUACAGUGGUCGUAUCCCAUCGGUCAGGAACUGGCUGUAAAAUAUAUAUAGUUACAUCUAACGAUGUAUAUAUAUAGUAAAAUAUUUAAGCGCGUCACUCCAUCAUCGAAUGAAAUUAUAAAAUCAAUAUAUGAUUGACUACUUAUAAAUAAAAAAAUGUUUUGGUGUAGAUAAAACUG